CCUACGGGAGGCAGCAGUGGGGAAUAUUGGACAAUGGGGGCAACCCUGAUCCAGCCAUGCCGCGUGUGUGAAGAAGGCCCUCGGGUUGUAAAGCACUUUCAGUGAGGAAGAACGCCUGGUGGUUAAUACCCAUCAGGAAAGACAUCACUCACAGAAGAAGCACCGGCUAACUCCGUGCCAGCAGCCGCGGUAAUACGGAGGGUGCGAGCGUUAAUCGGAAUUACUGGGCGUAAAGCGCGCGUAGGUGGCUUGAUAAGCCGGUUGUGAAAGCCCCGGGCUCAACCCGGGAACGGCAUCCGGAACUGUCAAGCUAGAGUGCAGGAGAGGAAGGUAGAAUUCCCGGUGUAGCGGUGAAAUGCGUAGAGAUCGGGAGGAAUACCAGUGGCGAAGGCGGCCUUCUGGACUGACACUGACACUGAGGUGCGAAAGCGUGGGUAGCAAACAGGAUUAGAUACCCCUGUAGUC
rnacentral:rRNA from 1 species